CUCAGAUUGAACGCUGGCGGCAUGCUUUACACAUGCAAGUCGAACGGCAGCGCGGGGCAACCUGGCGGCGAGUGGCGAACGGGUGAGUAAUAUAUCGGAACGUACCCAAGAGUGGGGGAUAACGUAGCGAAAGUUACGCUAAUACCGCAUACGAUCUAAGGAUGAAAGUGGGGGAUCGCAAGACCUCAUGCUCCUGGAGCGGCCGAUAUCUGAUUAGCUAGUUGGUGAGGUAAAGGCUCACCAAGGCGACGAUCAGUAGCUGGUCUGAGAGGACGACCAGCCACACUGGAACUGAGACACGGUCCAGACUCCUACGGGAGGCAGCAGUGGGGAAUUUUGGACAAUGGGCGCAAGCCUGAUCCAGCAAUGCCGCGUGAGUGAAGAAGGCCUUCGGGUUGUAAAGCUCUUUUGUCAGGGAAGAAACGGUAGAGGCUAAUAUCCUUUGCUAAUGACGGUACCUGAAGAAUAAGCACCGGCUAACUACGUGCCAGCAGCCGCGGUAAUACGUAGGGUGCAAGCGUUAAUCGGAAUUACUGGGCGUAAAGCGUGCGCAGGCGGUUUUGUAAGUCUGUCGUGAAAGCCCCGGGCUCAACCUGGGAAUUGCGAUGGAGACUGCAAGGCUUGAAUCUGGCAGAGGGGGGUAGAAUUCCACGUGUAGCAGUGAAAUGCGUAGAGAUGUGGAGGAACACCGAUGGCGAAGGCAGCCCCCUGGGUCAAGAUUGACGCUCANGCANNAAA
rnacentral:rRNA from 1 species